rnacentral:lncRNA from 1 species
UCAAGCUAUCCACUUGCCUCAGCCUCCCAAAUUGCUGAGAUUAGAAGAAUGAGCCACUGUGCCUGUGACUUACUUCUAACCCACAGAAUAGAGCAACAGUGAGAGGAUGUCAAUUCUGUGAUAGAUUGCAAAAUAUUGUAAGUUCCUAGCAGUCUUUCUCAUUGGUUUCAAUAAAAAAAAGCUGCUGUGCUGGAGGGACCCAUGAGGCAAAGAACUGAGAGCAGCCUUUAGCUAACAGCCGGCAAGGAAUGAGGUGCUUGGUCCAGCAAUCACAGAGAAACUGAAUCCUGCUGAUGAUCAUGAGGGUGAGCUUGGAAGCAGAUUCUGUCCCAGAUGAACUUUGAUUGUGUCUUGUUAGAAACCCUGGACCAACUCCUUGAUUGCACCUGUGAGAGGCCCUGAAGCGGAGGGCCCAGCUAAGUACUCCAGCACUUUCACAGUCAUUUACGGCAUCUGCAGAGCAGUGAAAAAUUUGAAUUGCCUGAGAUACAUGCUCCCUGCUGAAGUCGCACAAGCUGGCCAAUCCUGCUAAUCCUUUAAAACUCACCUGGAGGGAAGGCCUCCUUCUGCAAAGCCUCUCUUGAUGCAGAUUAUCAGCUUUCACUCUCUACCAGAUGGCAAGGAUAUUGCUGUUGGCUCAUAGGAUGUGAACAGUGGUGUUGAGAUUACCCUCAUUUGGCUGAUGAUGUCAUUGAGGCCCAGAGAAGGUAGGACACCUGGCAGGGCCUGGCUUUGGGGCUAACUUCUGCAGCUCUUUUGAUUGCCCCCACCUUACAGUUUUUGGCACAGAGCACUGUGUAGCUGGCACUUCUCUACUGGCCCGAAUGAGAAAACUUCCUCAGAGCAAAAUGUCAAGCACCAAAUAAGAUUCAUGUUUACUGUGAAGUGAUUGCUGCUUUUUAAAUGCUUAUCAGAAGCCGAAGGACAAACUCAGUAGGUUGAUUCAUGCUGAGCUCGACUACCUCCGUGAGAAAUGACUCUCCUGUAGGGCUCGAUGACCUUCAUGUCAAUGCGCUGCUCUUGUUCUCCA